UUGUUGGUGAGACUGCAAAUUUUUUUUAGCUGGGUUUCAAAGUAAAAUGACUUCGCUUGCUGUCCAUAAAGCAGUGGUUGGAGAAUCACAUCCACCCGACUAAAGGAGUGAGAUGUUAGAAAUCAACGUGGAGUUGAGGCUGAAGAACUGUCACAGGAGACAGGAGCUGGGUGCUUCAUGAGGCUGGGGCGAGUUCUUUGCUGCACCUUUAGGCUUUAAUUAAUUAAUUAAUUAAUUCAUUAAUUAAUUAAGGGUCGUCGUUAUUGCUGUUUAUUUGCAGUGACUUUUGUGGGUAUGAUUCUGAUUGGUGUGGUUCUUCUCCCUUUUGUACAGCUGGUGCUGUCGUACUAGCCUCAUACAGGAAGCCUCAGUCCUCCUAGUCUUAUUGUUAACUUUCUCUUGGGACUGUUUUAUUGACCAAUGCCUGACUGCGUUGGCUGCUUCUUUUAAAAUAAUUCUUGGCCAGUCUUUUUAACUUAGAAUAAAAUGUAUUUUUGUAUGGAAA